UACGAAGGGGGCGAGCGUUGUUCGGAUUUACUGGGCGUAAAGCGCACGUAGGCGGAUUGUUAAGUCAGGGGUGAAAUCCUGGAGCUCAACUCCAGAACUGCCUUUGAUACUGGCGAUCUUGAGUCCGGGAGAGGUGAGUGGAACUGCGAGUGUAGAGGUGAAAUUCGUAGAUAUUCGCAAGAACACCAGUGGCGAAGGCGGCUCACUGGCCCGGUACUGACGCUGAGGUGCGAAAGCGUGGGGAGCAAACAGG
rnacentral:rRNA from 1 species